rnacentral:rRNA from 1 species
GGGCCCGCACAAGCGGUGGAGCAUGUGGUUUAAUUCGAUGAUACGCGAGGAACCUUACCAGGGCUUAAAUGUAAGUUGCAUAGAUCAGAGAUGGUCUUUUCUUCGGACUACUUACAAGGUGCUGCAUGGUUGUCGUCAGCUCGUGCCGUGAGGUGUCAGGUUAAGUCCGGCAACGAGCGCAACCCACAUCCCUAGUUGCCAGCAGUUCGGCUGGGCACUCUAUGGAAACUGCCCGUGAUAAGCGGGAGGAAGGUGUGGAUGACGUCAAGUCCUCAUGGCCCUUACGGGUUGGGCUACACACGUGCUACAAUGGUGGUGACAAUGGGUUAAUCCCAAAAAGCCAUCUCAGUUCGGAUUGGGGUCUGCAACUCGACCCCAUG